AGUCUGGUCCAACAGCUGACAGGGGUGGCAGCCAACUGCAGGUGCCCAAGAACUUGGCACUUCUCAGUUCCAUCUAAAGGGGCACAUCUCCCUUCUGGGUGUCACGUUUUCAGCCAAACGUCUAAAAGAACUUCAUCAUCAAGAUGUCUGAUGAUAUUGACUGGUUACGCAGCCACAGGGGUGUGUGCAAGGUAGAUCUCUACAACCCAGAAGGACAGCAAGAUCAGGACCGGAAAGUGAUAUGCUUUGUCGAUGUGUCCACCCUGAAUGUAGAAGAUAAAGAUUACAAGGAUGCUGCUGGUUCCAGCUCAGAAGGCAACUUAAACCUGGGAAGUCUGGAAGAAAAAGAGAUUAUCGUGAUCAAGGACACUGAGAAGAAAGACCAGUCUAAGGUCUUCUUCUUUUUUUAGACGGAGGGAUCUGUGUGCCUUUUCAAACAAGCUCCCUCUGAUCCUGUAAGUGUCCUCAACUGGCUUCUCAGUGAUCUCCAGAAGUAUGCCUUGGGUUUCCAACAUGCACUGAGCCCCUCAACCUCUACCUGUAAACAUAAAGUAGGAGACACAGAGGGCGAAUAUCACAGAGCAUCCUCUGAGAACUGCUACAGUGUCUAUGCCGAUCAAGUGAACAUAGAUUAUUUGAUGAACAGACCUCAAAACCUACGUCUAGAAAUGACAGCAGCUAAAAACACCAACAAUAAUCAAAGUCCUUCAGCUCCUCCAGCCAAACCUCCUAGCACUCAGAGAGCAGUCACGUCCCC
rnacentral:sRNA from 1 species